rnacentral:rRNA from 1 species
CCUACGGGGGGCUGCAGUGGGGAAUAUUGGACAAUGGGGGGAACCCUGAUCCAGCCAUGCCGCGUGUGUGAAGAAGGCCCUCGGGUUGUAAAGCACUUUCAGUGAGGAAGAACGCCUGGUGGUUAAUACCCAUCAGGAAAGACAUCACUCACAGAAGAAGCACCGGCUAACUCCGUGCCAGCAGCCGCGGUAAUACGGAGGGUGCGAGCGUUAAUCGGAAUUACUGGGCGUAAAGCGCGCGUAGGUGGCUUGAUAAGCCGGUUGUGAAAGCCCCGGGCUCAACCUGGGAACGGCAUCCGGAACUGUCAAGCUAGAGGGCAGGAGAGGAAGGUAGAAUUCCCGGUGGAGCGGUGAAAUGCGUAGAGAUCGGGAAGAAGAGCAGUGGAGAAGGCGGCCUUAUGGACUGACACUCACACUGAGGUGCGAAAGCGUGGGUAGCAAACAGGAUUAGAGACACGAGGAGUC